GCGCUGCUCUGGGUCGCCUGCCGCCUCUACCACCGGCAGGAGGGGGCCGCGGCAGCCGCCGCGCAACCCGGCGACCAGGAGCUCCCCGGCAUGGUUCCCGCGACGGAGGGGAAGCUAGAGGCAGAGAACCGUCGGUCUUGCAUAUGUCAGUGACGGUCGUUGAUCAGGUUGUUGCGCGCGAAUGACAACAAUUGAUUCAUAACGAACCAACAUGUAGGACAUGCCAUUCGACCUUCUUAUAGAAGUGAACAAUCAUUUCCAGAGCAUUAUAUUAGCUGGACUUUUUAUGAGGUAUGAGCAAGUUGAGAGUUUCGAGUGGGUAUAUUUUCUGAGUUCCUAAGUAUGAUCAGUGGGCCGGCGCCGAAGUCCAUCUUGACAGGUAGGUAGAUUGAGAUAAUUUGUAAGUCUCAAGGUUGUUAUCUGGUUCAUUAGUGUGCCGAGGCUCUGUAGAUCAAAACAGUGCCAUGAAGGUUGCUAUGAGCAAACUAUGUCCAGGGAAUUGAACAACUAUAGCUCACCUUGGAUCAAAACAGAACAAUUGAUUGCAAGUGAAGUCUUGGGUAUGUUUAGCUGAAAUUUGCUGAAGUGAGCACUCGUGGGUAGUAACAGCGAAACCAUCGUGUAUUUGCCCAAGUGUUCAGUCUUUUAAAUUGUUUGGGAAAUGGUUAGAACUAAAAGAUCGCCUUCAUUUAAUAUUGAUUUUGAGAGUAAUGUUUUUAGAAACUUCAGACUAAUUCGGAGGUGAGGAGGAUGACGACGCCACCGCACCGUCGCACACCUCCAUAAGGCGAGGACCACGCAGUCGCCGGGGCGAGGAGCCUACCUCUGCGCCACUCCAUGAGGCGAGGGGCUCCCAGAACUGCUGCUCCAUUAUGCUCCUCUCUUGAGGUAUUUGUUCUUCAGCUUGAGAAUUAUUGUUCAGCUCCUGCACAUAGUUCUCUAUUUGCUCCAUUGACAGUCAGCUUAUACAUUAGCAUAUGAAUUAGAUGAACAUGGAGCAAAGGAGUAUGCAUGGUUGUACCUUGCCCAGAAUCAUAUAUUUUCUUAGCCAUGAGUAUGUCAUCGUGAUCCUCGGUACCGGCUCUAAGAUGUACUACAAUAUGGUUACAUCUACUCCAUUCACCAUGGUGAUAAUCAAUUUAUUUUUUUCCCUUUCUAUUGUUUGAUUGUAUUGCCUUUAAGUCAUAUAUUAGAGAUUUUAGUAGAGUCAGGUCUCUACCAGCGAAGGUCAUGGCUAAGGAAACGGGACUGGCGGAUUUCCCCCUCGUCUUGGACAAGACGUCAUGACACAGUUGUGAUGAGGUGUGGCGCAAGCGUGGCUGUAGGAUCCCUCCUAUGAAGCUAGGCAAUGACAUCAUCGGAUCCUCACUGGUACGCAGAGCUAUCGUGUGGAUCCGACAGGUGGCAGGGGCGUGUGACUAAUUAGUAUGCAGGUAUGGAGCAAUUUCUAAAAUGGCUUGCAUGAUGUCACUUGUCAUCCUUGGCAUCUAUCUCUUUCGCACUACUACCCGCAGCUGGAGGCAUCAGGCCUAGGAAGGUUAGAGUGCAGCUUUCAGAUAACUUCUUUCUUUGGGAUAGUUGGAAUACUAUGACUAGAUAUAGAAGAGGCUCAAAUGGUAAUGUUAUCAGUGUUUGCCCCUUCCAUGAUUUAUGUGUAGCGUGUAGACUAUCAGCGACAAUUUGAGCCUCUUUGUGAAGUAGUUUUGUAGGGUAUUGCUUCAAGUCAAGAAAAUGAAUGGCCACAAGUGGGGCGUUGACUGACAAUCCAAAGAUAGUUUAACCGAAGAGCUUCUGAUCUCUACAUGUGAAUGUUAAACUGCCAAUUUUGUACUUUACUAUUCUAUAUCAAGAAAAUAAAUAAUUGCAUCAUGGUAUUAGUGGCUUAAUUAUUUUUAUGCGCAUUGAACUAUAUAUUUUGAAGCACUUAAUAGUAUCUUGCACGGAGGAUCUAGGACUCCUGCCAAUUUAUUGUUCUUUGCUAAAAAAACUUUGCUCAAUUGCGCUUUGCCUCUCAGUGUUAUCAUUAGUUAAUGGCCUAAACUGUUGACAACUUAUCAAAAAAGAAUAAUCAUAUGCAGAUGCAGAAGCAUAUUAGUCAUACAGAAAUAAUCAUAUGCUGAAGGAAGGACUUGGAACUGUAACUAAAAACAAAAUGGAAAGUGGAGGGGCUCUGAUAUUGCAAUAAAAAGAAAUGAUAGAUAUUUCAUUGGGAAGCGAACUCAGGAAGACAAAAUAAUAUAAUCCUUACAUUUUCAGAUUACUCUUAUUUUCUUAUGCAUGUUCCUAUACGGAUUGGUCCUGAAUGUUUGACUUCUCAUAGAAAUGAAGCUGCAUACCCCCAACCUCAACUGUUGUGUCACCAUCGAGGGCUUCUAGCUGCUUGUUGUUCUUCAGUUACUAUUACUCUUAAGAUUCAUGUCUUAGAUAUUCUUAGGAGAGAAAUUGUAUGGAAUUUAAUGAUCAUUCAUCUCAACAAAUAUACGUGAUAUUUCCUUGUAAAAGGUUGCCUUCCAAAUUUAUGGCCUACUAUUAAAGGGGAGUUCGUUUCCACUUCCACCGUCUCGUUCGAUCCUAACCUCCUUUGGUUUUUUUCCCUUGCAGCGAUUCCUCACUCCCACCGGUUUGUUUAGGAACGGAUGCAUCUCCUCCCAUGUCCAGUUUUAGUGUUGGUUUUUGGCUCUAAUAAUCUCGUUCGACCCACCGCUACAAAUAGAUGCCACACCGCUCCUUUUGUUACGAUGGACUCAUGUGAGGCCUCGACAGAUCCACUUCCUUACAGCAGAACGAAAACAAUCAACCAUCAAUCAGAAAAUCUCCCUGAUAUUUCUUUCCUUCAGAUGCAUACAUAGCAGCCCAGGCCCAGUAGACCCGCGUUUCCUUUCCUUUCCUUUUUUUGUUACACCUUUUCUUCUCUUCUUGUUAUAUCAUUUCGAAAAGAUUGAUCUACACGAUCGUCGUCUAUUCGAGACUCAUCUAGACAUGAAAAAUAUGUGCAGACUCUAGGAUACAAAUAUGUGUAGGCUCUAGCAUGUCAGGUCGGCUCUAGGAUACAAAUAUGUGUAGACUGUUACCCCUCAAGUUCAGAAAAACCAAGGGUAUCAUAUGAAUUGGAUUAUGUAGAAGACAUAGAGAUAAAAAGGUACAUUGUUGCAUUCAUAUAGACACUGAUUAGGAGGGCCUAUUAGUUGCUAUUGAUGUUACAUUUAAACCUUUGCGAUUGCUAGACACUAGAAAUAAUUGAAAAUAUUCUCUUCUUUGCUUUGCAAUUGGUAGUAUUCAAGGUAACAAGAAAUCCAAUAUUGUUGUUUCUUGUGAAGUGUAGUUCACUUUAUUCCCUUCCUGUUAGAGCUGCUACUUGAGAUCCAGAGCCUAAACAACUUGUGAUCAUAGACUGCUCAGAGUUAUCAUAUUUGAUCUUCAAGUGCAAUCCUUCAGUUGUUCUAUUGCAUCUCCGAGCCAUAUUAGCAUACAUUUCCAAUCAACAAUUGACUACUGGGUCAGUUAUUACUCUCUCUGAGAAAUUAUUUCUUAAUUUGUCCUAUAAACAAUUAAAUUCAUUAUUGGCCAUGAAGUUCACCGCAAAUUUGCUGCGCAGUUUUAAUUUCAGAGAUACAUGUGAAUUUUUUUGUUUAUUACUUUUGCUGAAUAUGAAUAGUUCAUUUGAGAUCCCUCUAACAAAACACGAUAAAAUAGGGGAAGAAUUAACCUACAGGGAGGCAUGAUUGAGGUUGUUGCUCAUGCAUGUUUGAU